GUGGGGAAUAUUGGGCAAUGGGCGCAAGCCUGACCCAGCAACGCCGCGUGAAGGAAGAAGGCUUUCGGGUUGUAAACUUCUUUUACCAGGGACGAAACAAAUGACGGUACCUGGUGAAUAAGCCACGGCUAACUACGUGCCAGCAGCCGCGGUAAUACGUAGGUGGCGAGCGUUAUCCGGAUUUAUUGGGUGUAAAGGGCGUGUAGGCGGGACAGCAAGUCAGAUGUGAAAACCAGAGGCUCAACCUCUGGCCUGCAUUUGAAACUGUUGUUCUUGAGUGUCGGAGAGGUAAUCGGAGUUCCGUGUGUAGCGGUGAAAUGCGUAGAUAUACGGAGGAACACCAGUGGCGAAGGCGGAUUACUGGACGAUAACUGACGCUGAGGCGCGAAAGCGUGGGGAGCAAACAGGAUUAGAAACCCGGGUAGUCC
rnacentral:rRNA from 1 species